rnacentral:misc_RNA from 1 species
AAGUCGUAACAAGGUAACCGUAGGUGAACCUGCGGUUGGAUCAUCCGAGAGAGUGGCACACGCAGUGUGACACGCAGUGUUACACGUAGUGUUACACGCAGUGUGUGUCGCUCGUAAUAGUUAGUGACUUGUAUCUUUUCUCGUUCUUUUCGGUGAAUCACAGAAAAAGAGAGAGAAGCACGUCACUUGCAAACACCAAUUCCAGCGAAACGCACAUUUUCUCUGAAAAGAGAGAGAGAAGCACCAAUCUCAAUAACACUAAAACAUGACAAAGAAAGAAACAGAAAGAUACAACUUUUGACAAUGGAUCUCUUGGUUCUC